UUCCUAUGUACCGGGUCCGUCCACCAUUUCCUAGAGUACCCAGAAAACCUCUCAUAUACCAAUUCACACCAUUAAUCAAUCGCCAAAUUAUAUAUCAAUAUUUCAUAUUUACAAAUCAACAGUAAGUCAUGCAAAGAGAUGGUACAUAAAUCAAAAGGUCAUAAUUGGAACAUCUAUUGCAAAACGAACUAAUAAAUAAGGCUAUGCAGUUAGGUAAAUUAAAUAACUGAGAAGACAAUUAAAACUGACAAUUUAACGCACAGAAUAUAAUAAUAAACACUUUAGGCAGUAUAGGAAAAAAUAAACAGUAACUAGGGCAAAUAUGCACUGACUGAUUCCGCCUCCACUAGUGACCUGUAAUUAAUUUUAGACUUUUCUAAUUUUUACGAAAUACAACAUUAUUAAUUAUUAAACUUCAAUUUAUCGUAACAGAAAAAAGUGAGAGGGAUUCUUACCCCGAAUCAGUGUUCGAAAUACCAUACUAUUUACUGCGCCUCCUAUCGGUUUUCGAGUUUCUUGAAUUUUUUUUUGUGGAAGUCAAAACAUCGGUCAAGUAUCCAAAAAUAGCCCAAAAGGCUAAAAUAUGCGUUUUAAAACCUUUCUAGCAAAUUUUGGGGUUUCGGCAUGCCGGCACCGCUAUGCUGUGGCGCUGACUCCGCCACCCAUGGAGGCAGUUCGCCUCGGUCUUGCCGUUUUCGACCAUGUUAGGCCAGUUUUGGUCAGUUUUACGCGUAAACCUGCAAAACAAUGGGUCAGGAAGCCUCAAUUGGUCGAAAAAGGCAAAAGACUGAAACGUACUAGGAGGGAGGGGUCUCCGGGUGCAACAACUCCACUGGUUCUCCUUCGCAGUUGGGGUUCCUCUUCGGCUAAUCUGUUUUAUAAAAAGAUAGUGAACACGAUGAUCAAAAAAGCACAUGAAAUAAAAACAGAAAGGGAGUCAUUAGAGAAGGUUUCGGGUUUUGACCGCAACAGCUCGAUCGAGCUUUGCUCGUAUUUUUUGGCUCAUCCGUUGAUCUUUUAGCUCUAAUAUAGGUAUAAAGAGACUCAGGAUUGAAUUUCGAGCGAGAAGGGGAAAAUAAUACCUGUUUUGGUGUCGACAGUGGCUCUGGUGUGGUGGCGACGGUGGUUAGCCUCCUUCUCUGAUGUCUGGUCCUUUCCCCAGCCGCCAUUCUUCUUCUUCUCCGAUCACUCCUCUGUCAGCUAGGGUUUUGAUUUUUUGUGAAUAAGAGUUUAAAUACUCUUCUCUAUUCGAUCCAGGCCACUUAUUUGAGUCAACGUGAAGCGAGGAGGACCGUUUGAUAAUUUUUCGUUUAGGCUGAUCGCGUGGACGAAUCUGGACCGUCCAUCGCGAUUAACCUCAAAUGUCCGAUUGCACCUGAAGAGAAAAUGCAUUUAGGCUGUUCGUGCACACGGGAUGUGAUCUGGAUCGUCGGAUCGCCAGGCACGCGAAUCGCCCACGUGACCUCCCGUGUGAUGCCGUUGUAAGUGUGUUGCUAUGCGGUGUGCUCUAGUUUGUCGUAGCUGCUGACUGAGCUGUCUUACGUGACCAAACUUCUCUUUUUUGUGAUUUUACUCAUAUUUUUAAUUUUUCUUUCAAAAACACCUCUUUUAUUCUUAAUUUCACCCAUUUUCUCCAAAAUUGCUUUCAAUUUUGUCCUUAAUUCAUUUUUUCUCAGAAAUUUAAUAAAAUUUAAAUUAAAAUAAAUUUUUUUAGUUAUUUAUAUAUUUUGUAAAUAAGAAAAAUUAUUCUGCGCCAAAUUCUGGGUCCGAAUAUUACACAACAUAUACAGUUUACAUCGUAUUAAACAUACACCCAACGUAUUACGUAAGCAAUAAGCAAUCGCAGACCAUAUCUACACACAUUGCUUACUUAAAUUUAUCUUGUUACCAUUAUAUUUAACCAUAAACCUAUUCUAUUUAUCUACAUGUAUAUACUUUCUUACAAUAUACAUAUUUAAUCUAAUUAUGAUUUAACAUACCACUUAUACAAAAUACAUACAUCUAUAUUCCCACUUCAAAUAUGUAUAUAAGCAGUUUUUACACCUACGUAACUACCUAUAUUAUUUUAUACCUGUACAUAUACAGAUUCAAUGCGUAGGACUAUUUACGCUCAUAUGAACAUACAUAUAUAUAUAUCUAUUUAUAUUUUCGUAUAGUUUCAUAUGUAUCAAUAUAUUACAUAUUCAUAUAUAUAUAGCUACAUAUGUAAAUAUGCCCUAGAAUCCAUUUACUUUUUAUACAUGAAAUCCUAUACUUUAAACAAACAACAACCUAUGUAUACUACAUCUUUACCUAUUCAUUCACGCACAGACAUGUUUGUAUCUAUAUCAUUAUACAUAUACCCUAUACAAUACCGACGCUCAAUACACACUCACUCACAUACAUAUGAAACUUUGCAAAAUACUUUUCAAGACAACACUUAAAUCAUGCAUCAAAGUUUUUAAAUUAAUCAUUUUAAAAUCAAUAAAUCAUUUUAUGAAAACAUGAAAUCCCUUAAUGAAAACUAAUUUAAUUCUUACCAGAAUCUUCAACGAAAGAAGAAAUUGCAAAGCUUUUGCACGACUUUGGUUCCAUACAGUCGGCUCCCUUUUCAGUUUCAUAUUCCCAAUUUUCCUAAAAUUUUUAUACAUAUGAUUAAGUAUUUAAUUUAAAGUAAUAACCGAAUGUAACGUGAAAGAAAAUUUAUCAAAAUCGGUGUUGAAUUCGGACUUUCUAUUCGAAAGAGUGCGGUUUCGGUCUCUCUCAAUGGUUCCCUGAUUUUUGGCCUCGCACGAAUCUUUGAACAGAUCUAGAACGCUGCGUCGUCUGCUUCAUGUGGAUCAACUCCACCCAACACGUGCUUUGCUUCUUCUUCCUCAGCAACAUGCGUCGCGCGCCAAGCACCGCGCAUCCCAUGUUAUGCACCCAGCACCGUGUGCGUGCACCCAACGCUGCGCGCCGCACACUGAACACCCAGCACCGUGCGCCGCGCCACCAGCACUGCAUGUCACGCAUCGCACGUCCAACAUCACGCGCCGCGAGCUUAGCACCACACACGAUUUUGCCUUUCCAGUCACACACACCGCACGCCGUGCUUCCUUCCUCUUUUUCUUUUCUUUUUCUUUUUCUUUUUUUUUCUUUUUCUUCUUCUUCUUCUUAUUCUUCUUCUUCUUCGACAGCGUGCGCCACACGCCCAACACUACGUGUUCGACAUCCUCUUUCACUGUAACUUUUAAUCACCCAAUUUUUUUAUUUAGAUAGCAAAUUUUUAGUUGGUAAAUUUUAGUUUUAAUAUAAUUUACAAUUAAUGGACUUCAAUUUCUGUAGAAUAUUUAAUAUAAU
rnacentral:lncRNA from 1 species